rnacentral:misc_RNA from 1 species
CAAAACCUCCCGCGCCCCAGGGAGCGGCAUAAGCCCUAGCCAUUCAAAACAUUCCCUUCGCCUCCCGCGGCGGAUUAUGACUAUUACUACGGCGUCGUUUGGUGUGAUUAACAGAGCUGCACCUGGAGCUGGAGGAGUGAGCUCCGGCGGCAGGACAGUAUUGAUUACGGGGGUAAGCAAAGGGCUUGGCAGAGCCCUGGCUCUAGAACUUGCCAAGAGAGGCCAUACCGUUAUCGGCUGCGCUCGUGCUCAGGAUAAACUCAAUUCUCUCCAAUCCGAGCUUUCCUCCGACCAUAACAACGACCACCUCCUCCUCAACGCCGACGUGAGAUCUAAUAGUAGCGUGGAAGAGCUGGCCAGAGCAGUAAUGGAAAAGAAAGGCGUUCCAGAUAUCAUAGUGAACAAUGCUGGUACCAUUAACAGAAACAACAAGAUAUGGGAGGUUCCAGUGGAAGAGUUUGACGCUGUAAUUGAUACCAAUGUGAAAGGAAUAGCAAAUGUUCUGCGUCAUUUCAUCCCUCUAAUGUUACCCAAAAAGCAAGGAAUUAUUGUUAACUUCUCUUCUGGAUGGGGAAGAUCCGGUGCUGCCCUGGUAAAAUGAAUGAAUUUCCAAAAAAUUGAUUUUAUGUAGCUAUGCUCUAAUAUUUCCUUUAAAUUGAUUAUAAAAUAAGUAUAAAAAUGUGGGAUUUAGCUCAUUCAACGAAUGCUAGUUUUAUUUUUGAUGUCUUCUGCUGGAGUGUCAGCAUUAUGGUAGUAGGAUUUUGUGGUGAAUGUUUAUUCUCUGCUUUACAUUGGUUCUUCCUUUCGAGUGCUCCUUCUGGGAUUUUCAUCUGAUUAUAAUUUACCAGGUUGCUCCUUAUUGUGCAUCUAAAUGGGCAGUUGAGGGUUUGACCAGAUCAGUUGCAAAGGAGUUGCCUGAUGGGAUGGCAGCUAUUGCACUUAAUCCGGGGGUGAUACACACUGAAAUGCUCCAGUCAUGUUUUGGCACUUCAGCUUCACACUACCAGGCACCUGAUGCAUGGGCCUCAAAGGCAGCUACAAUGAUACUCAAUCUAACUGGGGCUGAUAAUGGUGCAUCUCUAACUGUGUGAUGAAGGUUUCCAAGGCUGUAAUGAUGCUCAAACAGAAGCAGAUGGUAGCACAUCUUGUGAGAAGAGUUCUUCAUCAGCUGUCAGGCAUUUAUUCAUUGUGAUGGUAUCACACCUUUCAAACAAAAAUUCUUCCUCUGUGGCCCUGUCAAUACUAGAAUUGGAUUACAAUGAACUCCAUAGUUUUACUUUAAACAGUUCUUUAGGUAGAUGAGGAACUUACUAUGUUCAUUGUCUAUAUGCACUAUUAAUUGAGGCCAAAGAAUGUAGCAAGUCUUAUUAUUGUGAUGUAUGGACCAAGGGAAUUUCUCCCAGGAGCUUUUGAUCAUGAAAUUACCUAUAAUCAAUGAGCAGUUGGGGGUAUGUCAUUAAUCUUUUUAUCAUGAAAUUAACUAUAAUUGUUCAUGUAGUGAAAAUGUAUUGCUAUCCAACCAUUUUACUUGUCAUGAGCAUGCUACAAAUUGGAUUUCUCUUUCUUGUUAAAUUUGUAUGUUAAUUUCUUCUCAGUUUUAGUAUUUGUCAAUGUAUAUUGAAGAUAAUAAAUAUCUGGCAUUAUUCUGCUGCAGUAAUGGUGCACUCUUAUGAUAAAUUAUAGUACGGCAAACGGUUUCCAAGCUUUCUUGCCACCAUUAUAUUUGCACAAAACCAUGGAUGGCCUGGAAAAGUAAGAUGCUGGGGAGAUGAAUAUACUUCUAGGAAGCUUGUAUAAAAGCAAAACUGCCUGAUAAAUAUCUCCUGUAUUAGCAAAAAUUCUAUUUAUUUAAAAUAUUAUAUAUAAACA